CUUAAAUCUUUUGGCCCAGCUCCUACCUCCCGGCAGCCUUGCCAGGCCCAGAACUCUCUCCAGUCAGCCUCUACAGACCAAGCUCAUGACUCACAAUGGCCUAUUUAGGCCCAUACCCUACCUCACGGCAGUCUCCGCAGAUGAGCCUACUGCCUCACAACAGCCUCCACAGGCACAGCUCCAUCGUUCCAAUGGCCUCUUUAGACCCAGCUCCUGCCUCCCAGCCUUGUCUCCAGGCCCUGAACUUUCUCCGGUCUCCCUCUGUUGUCCAAGGCUGGAGGGUAGUAGUGCUAUCGCAGCUGACUGCAGCCUCAACCUUCCAGGCUGAAGCGAUCCUCCCAUCUCAACCUCCCACGUGGCUGAGACUACAGGUGCUUGCCACUACGCCCAACUAAUAUUUGGUUUUUUCAUAUACGUGGAUUCCAGAGGGGUGACAGCGAAACGUGAGUGGGACCAUCCAGUUUCAGGAAAACAAGCUUAACACGCCCACUGGUUCUACAUUAUGCUCCUACCUCCCGGCAGCCUCGCCAGGCCCAGAACUCUCUCCAGUCAGCCUCUACAGACCAAGCUCAUGACUCACAAUGGCCUAUUUAGGCCCAUACCCUACCUCACGGCAGUCUCCGCAGAUGAGCCUACUGCCUCACAACAGCCUCCACAGGCACAGCUCCAUCGUUCCAAUGGCCUCUUUAGACCCAGCUCCUGCCUCCCAGCCUUGUCUCCAGGCCCUGAACUUUCUCCGUGGGACCAUCCAGUUUCAGGAAAACAAGCUUAACACGCCCACUGAUUCUACAUUAUGCUCCUACCUCCCGGCAGCCUCGCCAGGCCCAGAACUCUCUCCAGUCAGCCUCUACAGACCAAGCUCAUGACUCACAAUGGCCUAUUUAGGCCCAUACCCUACCUCACGGCAGUCUCCGCAGAUGAGCCUACUGCCUCACAACAGCCUCCACAGGCACAGCUCCAUCGUUCCAAUGGCCUCUUUAGACCCAGCUCCUGCCGCCCAGCCUUCUCUCUAGGCCCUGAACUUUCUCCGUAAUUUGAGGUAGCUGGGACUGUAGGUAUACAUGAUGAUACUUGGCUAAUUUUUACAUUGUUUUGCAGACAUGGGGUCUCACUUUGUUGGCCAGGCUGCUGUCAAACUAAUGGCCUCAAGUGACCCUUCCACCCCUGCCUCCCAUCCUCGAGGUAUGUGCCACCAGAAGGAGCACUUGUUCAAUUUUCUAAAGAAAAAAUUUCUAAAGUAAGGCUGUGGGAUGAUGGCAGGAAGAUAAAAGAAAAACAGAAGAAUAAGUUAAAAUGACUUAUUCACACAUAUUCUUUUGACAGCAAGAAGAACUGUUAGUAUAUACAUUGCUUACAAACAAACAAACGGCAGAUAAACAAUGUUGUAUAGGAACUUCAACACACACUGUACAAUAUUCCCACUUUGCUGACAUAAGUUAUGGAAAUUUCGUGGUUUCCUUGAGUGUCGCUACCAGUAUUUUGGUCCUCUGACGAUUUUUAUCAACUUCCUCAUCUGUUAACUUCUCUCCAAAGUAUGUCAUGUCACGACAUACUGCCGCUGCACGAACACAGCCAGUGUCUUCCUAUUAAACAUGUAGAAUGCUUUCCUAAUUUCUCUUUUUACUCUCUGUCUUUGUGUUCUGCACUUUCCUUACUUUUAUUGUCAGAAACUCCAGAAAGUCAAUCGUACUAAUUUAUCACGAUUUGCUUUAUUAAUUUAUACUAUGCUUAUAUGGAAUUUUGCCCAACAGACCUCAUUACAAUUUGGGCCAGGGCCCAGGGUUAGGUUUGUUUCAGGGUCAGGGCCAGGGCCCAGGGUUAGGCAUGUUUUAG